rnacentral:rRNA from 1 species
AUUGAACGCUGGCGGCAUGCCUAACACAUGCAAGUCGAACGAGUGGCGGACGGGUGAGUAAUAUAUGGGAACCUGCCCAAUGGAGGGGGAUAACUACUGGAAACGGUAGCUAAUACCGCCUACCAUCGGAUGUGCCCCUAUGGGAUUAGCUAGUAGGUGGGGUAAAGGCUCACCUAGGCGACGAUCCCUAGCUGGUCUGAGAGGAUGACCAGCCACACUGGGACUGAGACACGGCCCAGACUCCUACGGGAGGCAGCAGUGGGGAAUAUUGCACAAUGGGCGCAAGCCUGAUGCAGCCAUGCCGCGUGUAUGAAGAAGGCCUUCGGGUUGUAAAGUACUUUCAGCGGGGAGGCGUUACCUGCAGAAGAAGCACCGGCUAACUCCGUGCCAGCAGCCGCGGUAAUUC